AGCGGUAAGGCCCUUCGGGGUACACGAGCGGCGAACGGGUGAGUAACACGUGGGUAACCUGCCCUGUACUCUGGGAUAAGCCUUGGAAACGAGGUCUAAUACCGGAUACGACCAUUGAUCGCAUGAUCGGUGGUGGAAAGUUCCGGCGGUAUGGGAUGGACCCGCGGCCUAUCAGCUUGUUGGUGGGGUAAUGGCCUACCAAGGCGACGACGGGUAGCCGGCCUGAGAGGGUGACCGGCCACACUGGGACUGAGACACGGCCCAGACUCCUACGGGAGGCAGCAGUGGGGAAUAUUGCACAAUGGGCGAAAGCCUGAUGCAGCGACGCCGCGUGAGGGAUGACGGCCUUCGGGUUGUAAACCUCUUUCAGCAGGGACGAAGCGCAAGUGACGGUACCUGCAGAAGAAGCACCGGCUAACUACGUGCCAGCAGCCGCGGUAAUACGUAGGGUGCGAGCGUUGUCCGGAAUUAUUGGGCGUAAAGAGCUCGUAGGCGGUUUGUCGCGUCGGCCGUGAAAACUUGGGGCUUAACUCCAAGCUUGCGGUCGAUACGGGCAGACUUGAGUUCGGCAGGGGAGACUGGAAUUCCUGGUGUAGCGGUGAAAUGCGCAGAUAUCAGGAGGAACACCGGUGGCGAAGGCGGGUCUCUGGGCCGAUACUGACGCUGAGGAGCGAAAGCGUGGGGAGCGAACAGGAUUAGAUACCCUGGUAGUCCACGCCGUAAACGGUGGGUGCUAGGUGUGGGGGGCU
rnacentral:rRNA from 2 species